UGUAAAGAUUAAAAUUUUUGUUGGCAGCGAGGUUAAGCCACAAGUCUUGACGGACCCAGAUCCAGCUCAAGCACAAGGCUACCAGGCUUUCAGUUGCGUGACUUACUGUCAUUGGAUUUUAUACUAAUAAUAUCGCCCUUAUCAUGUCUGGAAGAGAAGGAGGUAAAAAGAAACCAUUGAAGGCGCCUAAAAAGGAAAACAAAGAAUUGGAUGAUGAUGAUAAGGCCAAUCUUCAAAAAAGAAGAGAAGAGGAAAAAGCAUUGAAAGAACUGGCUGCAAAGGCCGCUAAGGGACCACUGGGUGGAGGAGGUAUCAAGAAAUCCGGAAAGAAAUAAUUAUCUAAAAUUGUUGACCAACAAAAUUUUGAAUACAAAAGUGCUCACAUGUAUUUCUGAUUGCCUUCUUACUCAAAAUACAUCAGAGAUUUAAAAGCAUA